rnacentral:rRNA from 1 species
CUACGGGUCGCAGCAGUGAGGAAUAUUGCACAAUGGGGGGAACCCUGAUGCAGCAACGCCGCGUGGAGGAUGACGCAUUUCGGUGUGUAAACUCCUUUUAUAUGUCAAGAAAAUGACGGUAGCAUAUGAAUAAGCACCGGCUAACUCCGUGCCAGCAGCCGCGGUAAUACGGAGGGUGCAAGCGUUACUCGGAAUCACUGGGCGUAAAGGACGCGUAGGCGGGUUGAAAAGUCAGGUGUGAAAGCCUACAGCUUAACUGUAGAACUGCACUUGAAACUCUCAAUCUAGAGUAUGGGAGGGGCAGAUGGAAUUAGUGGUGUAGGGGUAAAAUCCGUAGAUAUCACUAGGAAUACCUAAAGCGAAGGCAAUCUGCUGGAACAUUACUGACGCUAAGGCGUGAAAGCGUGGGGAGCAAACAGGAUUAGAUACCCGGGUAGUC